UACGGGGGGGGGCAAGCGUUGUUCGGAAUUACUGGGCGUAAAGGGUUCGUAGGUGGCCAAUUAAGUCAGACGUGAAAUCCCUCAGCUUAACUGGGGAACUGCGUCUGAGACUGGAUGGCUCGAGUGCAGGAGAGGAACGCGGAAUUCCAGGUGUAGCGGUGAAAUGCGUAGAUAUCUGGAGGAACACCGGUGGCGAAGGCGGCGUUCUGGACUGCAACUGACACUGAGGAACGAAAGCCAGGGGAGCAAACGGG
rnacentral:rRNA from 1 species